UACGAAGGGGGGCUAGCGUUGCUCGGAAUCACUGGGCGUAAAGCGCACGUAGGCGGCUUUUUAAGUCAGGGGUGAAAUCCUGGAGCUCAACUCCAGAACUGCCUUUGAUACUGAGAAGCUUGAGUUCGGGAGAGGUGAGUGGAACUGCGAGUGUAGAGGUGAAAUUCGUAGAUAUUCGCAAGAACACCAGUGGCGAAGGCGGCUCACUGGCCCGGUACUGACGCUGAGGUGCGAAAGCGUGGGGAGCAAACAGG
rnacentral:rRNA from 1 species